UGGGGGGUGGGACUUGGACAGGGCCAGUCCGGUCUCGCUCCAGAGCGGAAAGCUCGGAGCAUGUAGAGGGGGACCAACUUGGGUGGUGCCCCAGUGGCAGCCGCAGGAGAUGGGCUCGAUCAGGAGAGGAGCAUUUGCCGUUUGAAUCUGUUGGUGUUGGUGGUGGGGCUGUCUCCUGGCCAGGCCACCUCGUACAAGGAUUAGUGCGAGAUGGCCUGGGCGAUGGCAGGGCAGGGACAGGAGGCAGGGACUGAGAUGGCGGUGCCACUGAGGGGAGGUCAGGAUGGGGGGCGCUCCGGCAGGCAGAAUGGCGAGGCGGACGCCGCGGUGCAGGGGAGGGCGGAGAGCUCAGCCCUUCCAGGCAGCGGCACCACUUAGCCACACGUGCUUUCCACGCUCUGUGCCUCUGCUUCCUCGUCUGUAGAAUUAGGGGCUUGGACUAAGUGAUCUCUCAGGGCCCUUCAAGCUCGGAUAUUCUGGCAUUCUCUGUGGAGUCGUUGGUGAAAGGGAGACAGCCGGGAGACAAGCCAAGGUGGGGUUGGAAGUAGGUAACAUCUUAGCGCUCGAGCCGCGCGCUUACAAGCCGCGUACUCGGAGACCCAGAGAAGUCCGAUUGUCUGAGCUCGCAGAGACCAGAGAGGUCUCCUCCAGCCUCGUAGUUUUAGAGAUAGAGUCGCUGAGGGACAGAGAGGGGAAAGGGCUUGCUUCUCCUUAGAGGCCUUGAAAAGGGACUAGAUCAGGACAGAGAAGCAGGAGGACAAGAUCAGGCUUGAGAGCUGAGCCUCGGGGUGAGCCCCAAGCUAAAGAGCAGGAGGUGAAGACGUAAUCAGCGGAGACCGAGGAGUAACCAGAAAGAUGGAAAGAGACCCAGAAAAUGUAGCUUCAUGGAGGGCAGUGGGGAAACGUCAGGAAGGAGGAGGUGAAGAACACCACCAGACCGGCAGCGGCCAAUUUGAGCCAGCUGCUGGAGAGGGGAAAGAGAGAGGCGAGGGAGGCAGACGGUGUAGAACAAGAGGUCCGUUCGCUGGACCACGGAGGAGAGACGAGAACUAGGGUAGCUCUCAAAGGAGACUAGUCGAGCCAAGGCGGCUAGGAUCCUGGAGAGAGCCGGGCGGAGGACCAGGGAGCCAGGUCCUCGGGCUGAGCGAGGGAGAACAGACAGAAAAGCUGCCGAUGACCUCCGGCUCCUCGCUGCGAGGCGAAGGCAUCUGCACAGAGACCGUGUGAAGGAGCGGGAUGCCCCUGAGCAGGCAGGCACGCAGUCAGGCAGGCAGGCUGAGGCUAGCUAGGCCAGGGGAGGUGCACGCUCCUGCCACCUUCUCCAGGAACUCUUUGCAGCCCGGGAGCCGGAGCGGAGAAAGCAAACAGUGGAGGCUCCAAGCACUGUCUGCUUUAUCCGCUCCUGCUCCUGGGGCUGACCUAGCAAACGCGCAGCGGAAGGCCAAGGAUGCCGGGGUGUCAAGGGUGCUAGUGAGGGCAGCAGAGCAAUGGCUCACCAUGGAGGAGCAGAGGUUGGUUUGGGACGUGAAUCUGGCUGGAAGGGGGCGAGCGGAGGGGCCCCGCGAGCUGGGAGGGCUUCAGUGAUUGAAGAUCCCCCUGAGGGUGGCGAGGGGGAGCCAGUCCUGAAGUGAAGCUCCCCGAGUAAUCUGAAGUCACAUCAGUACGAGAUGGCAGAGGGGAAAAGUACAUCCAGUGGGCACCCGAUGUGAAUGAAAGAGGGAGAUGAAGGUCGGAGGCGCCAUGAAGGACCGAGAAUGGAAAAAGUGGGGUAUCAUCAGAAAAAUACUGAUACCAGGGCUGCAAUCACCAUGCUAAUCAGUCAGAAGGAGACCAGUGGCAAAGACAUGAGUAGAUGGAAGUGACUGUCCAGGCUCUGUAAAGAUCAAUCAACUGAUCACUUCACUGAUCUAGCAGCAGUCAGGGAAGGAGCCUUUCUUACCCAGCCAACUCCCCCCAGGCAUAAGCGUGUGGGCAUGAAGAAAGGAUUACAUCCUGGCCAAGGUCCCUGCCCUUCGGCAAUGCCCAGGACAGGACCUUUUCCAUCUGCUAACAAGGUGCCACUUGAUUCAGACAGCAUGGCUAGAAAGGCGACAGGCCCAAGACCCUGGAUCGACGUGUUGACGGCAGAGAGAAGAAUGCUGACCCACUGGGGGUUGCUGAAUCCCCUCACCCAGAAAAGAGAGAACCUCCAAGCAGACAAGAAAAGCCCUACAACUGAAAUGCUCCCAGAAGCCCUACACAAGAAAGACCUAAGCCCCCCACUCUCCACAAUGUUCUGCCAAUAACUCAGCCUCUGUUUUCUCCCCUCAAAAUCCAUCACUUCCUGGAAGCCUUCCAUGAUGAGAGAUCCCCUCCCCCCCACUCCACCCUUCCCCCUGGUCCUGGCUUUCCCGUCCCCCUCUCCCUCCAGCCCCCCACCCAUCCCCCCACAUGUGACGUCCCUCGAUUCUGCGACCCUGAAGCCCUUACAGACUCCAAUUGCACUAACUAGUUCGUUUGCACUGAUACGUGUGCACGGUCCCCACGAGUGCGUGAGUGAGUGUGCGUGUGUGUGUCUGUGUCGGUCCUGUCUCGGCUGGCCUGCUCCCCCAUGAGCCCGGGCUAGCCCUCCACUUACACCUCUCGCAGUUCUCCCCCCUGCUCCCCCUCCCCCAGGGCCCUCCCGCCAGGGCUGGCUCUGCACACACUCAAUAAACACUGUUGACAGGCAGCAGGGUUUCUCAGGA